rnacentral:rRNA from 1 species
GUCCUAGCCGUAAACGUUGGGUGCUAGGUGUGGGCGGAUAUCGACCCCGUCCGUGCCGAAGCUAACGCAUUAAGCACCCCGCCUGGGGAGUACGGCCGCAAGGCUAAAACUCAAAGGAAUUGACGGGGGCCCGCACAAGCGGCGGAGCAUGUGGCUUAAUUCGAUGCAACGCGAAGAACCUUACCUGGGCUUGACAUGCGGGGUAAAGCCGGCGAAAGCCGGCGCUCUACGGAGCCCGCACAGGUGGUGCAUGGCUGUCGU